UACGCAGGCGGUUGAUUAAGUCUGACGUGAAAGCUCCUGGCUUAACUGGGAGAGGUCGUUGGAAACUAAUUGGCUUGAGGUGAUGAGAGGGGUGCGGAAUUCCCGGUGUAGUGGUGGAAUGCGUAGAUAUCGGGAGGAACACCAGUGGCGAAAGCGGCACCCUGGCAUUGACCUGACGCUCAUGUACGAAAGCGUGGGGAGCGAACG
rnacentral:rRNA from 1 species